rnacentral:rRNA from 1 species
CGACUACAUUAGAUACCCCUGUAGUCCCAGCCGUAAACUAUGCGCGUUAGGUGUAUCGGUGACCACGAGUCACCGAGGUGCCGAAGGGAAACCGUGAAACGUGCCGCCUGGGAAGUACGGUCGCAAGGCUGAAACUUAAAGGAAUUGGCGGGGAGCACCACAACGGGUGGAGCCUGCGGUUUAAUUGGACUCAACGCCGGGAAGCUCACCGGAUAAGACAGCGGAAUGAUUGCCGGGCUGAAGACUCUGCAUGACUAGCUG